rnacentral:antisense_RNA from 1 species
UUCACGGUGUACGGCCAGCUGCCGCCGCCCUCGGUGAUCGCCUCGUCGCCGACGUGGUCGCCGUCGGCGAGCGUGCCGAGCACCGUCACCUCGCCGUACUUGCCGGUGCCGAUCCGGUCCACCUUGCCGUGCGCGAUCAGGAACACCUCCUCGAUCGGCGCCCCCUCCUGCACCAGCACCUCGCCCUGCGCGAAGUCCCGCUGCACGAACCGGCGGGCCAGCUCGGCCAGCACCUCCUCGUCCUCGAAGCCGCGCAGCGCCGGGACCUCCGCCAGCGAGGGGGCGAUCACCGUCACCGCGGCGCCGGUCUUGGCGAAGCUCACCCGGCCGCGCCCGGGCGCGUAGCUCAGCCGCCGGUUGACCCGGUAGGUACCCGCGCUGACCUGCACCCACGGCAGCAUCUUCAGCAGCCAGCGGGAGGUGAUCUCCUGCAUCUGCGGCUUCGACUUGGUCGUCGUCGCCAGGUUCCUCGCCGCGGUCGUGCUGAGGCUGAGCUGGGCCCGUACCUG